ensembl:rRNA 5S_rRNA 5S ribosomal RNA
AAUAAACCACAAUGGAGUCCAAAAACAAAAAAUUUGUGUGUGUGGUUGAAGGAUGUGAUCUCACAAAGCUAAGCAGGGUUGGACUUGGUUAGUACUUGGAUGGGAGACUGUCUGGGAAUACCAGGUGUU